AACUCCUUAGCUACCUAGUGUGAAGGUAGGCUUUUUGAGAUUAACCUAUUGAUUAACUUAACUCGGAAAGCAAGAGUCUUCACCACGCUUUUAUUAUUUCCAAAGGAAAAGGGAAAAAGUACAAAGAAAACAAAAAGAAGUUUUAAAACAAAAAAGAAAUAAGGGUCUGGGGAUUGAUUAUGCAAAGGGAAGGUAUUAGCACCCUAAACAACUAUAGCAACUAUAGGAACCUCUUUGGAAAUUUGUACAUUUUAGUUUUAAGAUGGUGUUGUUUGCA
rnacentral:lncRNA from 1 species